rnacentral:lncRNA from 1 species
UUUUUACCAAUGCUAUUCAUAUUCUAUAAGUUAGGUACGCAUAGGUACAAAUAAUAUUAAAUAGAAUAAUAUCUUGAUGUUUUGUUAUUGUUAAAGUUAAUAAAUUUUUAUUUUUCUUAAUUUCUUCCUAACUUGACCUAACAGCAAAACAUAAACAGAUAUAUACCGUACAGAACUAUCGAUAUAUAUUAUUGAAAUACGAUAUUAAUUCUCGUGUCUAUAUUGUUGUCUUAUAGGCUUAAAAAACAAUCGUGGGUCGUAAAUAUUAUUGUCAGGGUGCGUAUAAAAAAAAUUUACUGAUACGCCUUGUUUAUAAUGUUUAUAUUAUUAUAAUACGGUCUUUGUAGAUAUUAUUACUAUAACAAUUUCUUCUGGCGCUUGACAAGCGGAAAAAAUAAAACAACACAUCGAUUCGUAUACGUCGGGUGUUCGCUCAUAAUAAUAUAUGGCCUGCCACGGAAAACCGUUAAUAAUAAAUAUUGUUUUCACGCGCAAAUGCCACCACCGAUGAGAAAUUAUAAAAAUUAUCGUCGCUCACGAGUAUUAAUCGAGAACGAUUUUUUACGGUUGUCGUUUGACUGGUUGUUGUGUACUCAAUCGGUGUCUGAGAAAUCGGUAUCGGCAGUGUUUAAAAGUUUACGCGAGGGAUGAAAAUAAUAUUAUUAACGAGUAUAUAUACGCGUAGAGCCGGAGAUGGACGCCAAAGUUUCACGUCCUCGGGCUGUCUAUCAUUGCUACGACUGACUAUAAUUAUAAAUUAUUACUUGUCGCGUUGUAUAAUAAAAUAUCUUUCAGUCUGAAUUUAUACCGUUCGCUGUACAUGCCGGUCUGUGGUCAUAACAGGGAAAUCAUCACUCAAUCGAUUUGAAAUAUAAUUAAAUGAGCUAAGAAAAGCCAAUACACUUUUUUGUUAAUGUUACAUUUUUUAAUUUUUAACAACAUUUUUUUUAGGUUGUCUGGAAACGAGCGCGCGCUUUACGUUUUUUUAAAAAUCCUUUAGAUUGAUAAACAUUUUGAAAUAUUGAAAGUGUUUAUUGCGAACGAAGCGAUUGGCUCAUCGCGGUUGACCAUAUCGGUAAAAUUCUAAAUACCACUCCUCAGAUUUUUUCAACGGGUUUCGGGUAUUUUUUCUACAUUUUUGUCCACGCUUAGAAUUUCACAAAUAAAAUUAUCCUAAAAAAAAUCAGCGGUGCGUCUUCAAAACUCACGCGAUAUGCCAUGGCCAGCGUUAUAACCGUAAUGCCAAUAGAUAUUAUCAUAAUGAUAUUGUACCUAUAUAGUGGACGAGCACAUUACGAUAAUAAUAUUAUAUUGUAAUACUAUAUUCGAUAUUAUAAUGACGGCGCAAAUACAAUAAUCUGCCCGUCCAAUCAACAAACGCCAGUCUAUUAUAGUACGCAGUAAUCGCGUUGUUGUUAGCCCGGUAUCCGACGCGUGUAAAACUAUUAGCGCCGGACCAACAAAACCACUUAGCAAGUUUUCCAAUUAAUUCACCGAAGACUAUACUGCCGCGUGCCACGCGAACUCUGCGGCCGCGCGUGCCACUCGCGUUAUCUUGGGGGCCCGCUCUCUCCGGGGCCGAUAUUAUAUUGUUUCGAUUUCGACCUGAACCUAAUACGAUUUUUCCCGUUUCUAGUUUCAGUUGCCGGAUGCCGUGAAAACAGUCGGAAAGUACAAGAACAACAGGCAUGACCCCGAGAACGGUGGCAGGGAAACUCCAGUGGACAUGUGUAGAGUGAUCGGCACGUAGGAAAAAAUACACGUCUGUCCGCAAUGCUUAUUGAAACUCCCUGGAGAUAAUCUUUGGUAAGUGUAAAUGACUUUAAUUAGUUUAUUAUAAAUGUAAAUUAAAUUGAGUUUGAUUAUUGAUUAUUAAAAUCCAUAUUAUUUUAUUUGCUCGCUUUUAUAAUGAUAUCGAAAAAAAACGCUUAGAUACCUAAUUUAAACGAAUGACGAUAAUCAAACUUAUGAUUAAUAAGACAAAGAUACAAAAAAAAAAAA